UGCUACAGGCUUAACACAUGCAAGUCGAGGGGCAGCAUGGUCUUAGCUUGCUAAGGCCGAUGGCGACCGGCGCACGGGUGAGUAACACGUAUCCAACCUGCCGUCUACUCUUGGACAGCCUUCUGAAAGGAAGAUUAAUACAAGAUGGCAUCAUGAGUCCGCAUGUUCACAUGAUUAAAGGUAUUCCGGUAGACGAUGGGGAUGCGUUCCAUUAGAUAGUAGGCGGGGUAACGGCCCACCUAGUCUUCGAUGGAUAGGGGUUCUGAGAGGAAGGUCCCCCACAUUGGAACUGAGACACGGUCCAAACUCCUACGGGAGGCAGCAGUGAGGAAUAUUGGUCAAUGGGCGAGAGCCUGAACCAGCCAAGUAGCGUGAAGGAUGACUGCCCUAUGGGUUGUAAACUUCUUUUAUAAAGGAAUAAAGUCGGGUAUGCAUACCCGUUUGCAUGUACUUUAUGAAUAAGGAUCGGCUAACUCCGUGCCAGCAGCCGCGGUAAUACGGAGGAUCCGAGCGUUAUCCGGAUUUAUUGGGUUUAAAGGGAGCGUAGAUGGAUGUUUAAGUCAGUUGUGAAAGUUUGCGGCUCAACCGUAAAAUUGCAGUUGAUACUGGAUAUCUUGAGUGCAGUUGAGGCAGGCGGAAUUCGUGGUGUAGCGGUGAAAUGCUUAGAUAUCACGAAGAACUCCGAUUGCGAAGGCAGCCUGCUAAGCUGCAACUGACAUUGAGGCUCGAAAGUGUGGGUAUCAAACAGGAUUAGAUACCCUGGUAGUCCACACGGUAAACGAUGAAUACUCGCUGUUUGCGAUAUACAGCAAGCGGCCAAGCGAAAGCGUUAAGUAUUCCACCUGGGGAGUACGCCGGCAACGGUGAAACUCAAAGGAAUUGACGGGGGCCCGCACAAGCGGAGGAACAUGUGGUUUAAUUCGAUGAUACGCGAGGAACCUUACCCGGGCUUAAAUUGCAGAUGAAUUACGGUGAAAGCCGUAAGCCGCAAGGCAUCUGUGAAGGUGCUGCAUGGUUGUCGUCAGCUCGUGCCGUGAGGUGCCGGCUUAAGUGCCAUAACGAGCGCAACCCUUGUUGUCAGUUACUAACAGGUUCCGCUGAGGACUCUGACAAGACUGCCAUCGUAAGAUGUGAGGAAGGUGGGGAUGACGUCAAAUCAGCACGGCCCUUACGUCCGGGGCUACACACGUGUUACAAUGGGGGGGUACAGAGGGCCGCUACCACGCGAGUGGAUGCCAAUCCCAAAAACCUCUCUCAGUUCGGACUGGAGUCUGCAACCCGACUCCACGAAGCUGGAUUCGCUAGUAAUCGCGCAUCAGCCACGGCGCGGUGAAUACGUUCCCGGGCCUUGUACACACCGCCCGUCAAGCCAUGGGAGCCGGGGGUACCUGAAGUGCGUAACCGCGAGGAGCGCCCUAGGGUAAAACUGGUGACUGG
rnacentral:rRNA from 1 species